rnacentral:rRNA from 1 species
GACGAACGCUGGCGGCGUGCUUAACACAUGCAAGUCGAACGAUGACCCCGGAGCUUGCUCCUCGGGAUUAGUGGCGAACGGGUGCGUAACACGUGAGUAACCUGCUCUGCACUCUGGGAUAAGCGUUGGAAACGAAGCCUAAUACCGUAUAGGACCUUGGCUCGCAUGAUCUGGGGUGGAACGUUUUUUCGGUCUGGGAUGGACUGGCGGCCUUUCAGCUUGUUGGUGGGGUAAUGGAACACCAACGCGUCGACCGGUAGCCGGCGUGAGGGGGUGACCGGCGAAGCGAGAAGUGAGCCACGGUGCAGAGUACGAGGGGAGGGAGCAGUGGGGAAUAUUGGACAAUGGGGGGAAGGCUGAUGCAGCCAUACCGCGUGGGUGAAGAAGGCGGUCGGGUUGGAAAGCCCGUUUGUUGGGAAAGGAAAGCAGCAGGUUAAUACCCCGCUGUUCUGAGGGUACCCAAAGAAUAGGAACCGGCUAACUUCGUG